UNUGACUUGAGUGCAGAAGGGGAGAGUGGAAUUCCAUGUGUAGCGGUGAAAUGCGUAGAUAUAUGGAGGAACACCAGUGGCGAAAGCGGCUCUCUGGUCUGUCACUGACGCUGAGGCUCGAAAGCGUGGGUAGCGAACAGGAUUAGAUACCCUGGUAGUCCACGCCGUAAACGAUGAGUGCUAGGUGUUAGGCCCUUUCCGGGGCUUAGUGCCGGAGCUAACGCAAUAAGCACUCCGCCUGGGGAGUACGACCGCAAGGUUGAAACUCAAAGGAAUUGACGGGGGCCCGCACAAGCGGUGGAGCAUGUGGUUUAAUUCGAAGCAACGCGAAGAACCUUACCAGGUCUUGACAUCCCGAUGCUAUUCUUAGAGAUAGGAAGUUACUUCGGUACAUCGGAGACAGGUGGUGCAUGGUUGUCGUCAGCUCGUGUCGUGAGAUGUUGGGUUAAGUCCCGCAACGAGCGCAACCCUUAUUGUUAGUUGCCAUCAUUAAGUUGGGCACUCUAGCGAGACUGCCGGUAAUAAACCGGAGGAAGGUGGGGAUGACGUCAAAUCAUCAUGCCCCUUAUGACCUGGGCUACACACGUGCUACAAUGGUCGGUACAACGAGUUGCGAGCCGGUGACGGCAAGCUAAUCUCUGAAAGCCGAUCUCAGAUCGGAUUGGAGGCUGCAACUCGCCUCCAUGAAGUCGGAAUCGCUAGUAAUCGCGGAUCAGCACGCCGCGGUGAAUACGUUCCCGGGCCUUGUACACACCGCCCGUCACACCACGAGAGUUUGUAACACCCGAAGUCGGUGAGGUANCCUUUUAGGGGCCAGC
rnacentral:rRNA from 1 species